rnacentral:lncRNA from 1 species
CAACCUUAACAUCCCAAUGGAGUCGGUUUUAUCUGCAUCAGGGUCUUUUGGCAGUAAACCAUCAACCGAAGACUCUGCCGAUCUAAGUUCAGCCGUACAGGUAAUAGUCACUAAAUCACCAUCACUGUCCUUGUAUUUAACAAGAACAGAUUUUGACAUAGGGAACCGUCUGCUAACAAUAUCCCUCAACACUCUAAAACUGCAAUUCACAGGCAUUUGGGCAAGCCUUAUAUCAUGAUCAUAAACAAGCUUCAACGGCCUCCAGCGGAUCGCAACAUCCUUAGAAUGUCCAUGAACAACACUUGAUGCUGAUAAAGAUGCCUGCUCUCUUUGUCCAUCCUUAUUGCGAUCAGU